rnacentral:rRNA from 1 species
GAUGAACGCUAGCGGCAGGCCUAAUACAUGCAAGUCGGACGGGAUCGGGGAGCUUGCUCCCCGUGAGAGUGGCGCACGGGUGCGUAACACGUAUGUAACCUACCUUUAUCAGGGGGAUAGCCUCUCGAAAGAGAGAUUAACACCGCAUAACAUCACAUGAUAGCAUUACCGAGUGAUCAAAUAUUCAUAGGAUAAAGAUGGGCAUGCGGGACAUUAGCUAGUUGGCGGGGUAACGGCCCACCAAGGCGACGAUGUCUAGGGGAUCUGAGAGGAUGACCCCCCACACUGGUACUGAGACACGGACCAGACUCCUACGGGAGGCAGCAGUAAGGAAUAUUGGUCAAUGGGCGCAAGUCUGAACCAGCCAUGCCGCGUGCAGGAGGACGGCCCUACGGGUUGUAAACUGCUUUUGUACCGGAAUAAACCCUUUUACGUGUAAGAGGCUGAAUGUACGGUAAGAAUAAGGAUCGGCUAACUCCGUGCCAGCAGCCGCCGUAAAAC